GUUGGACAGCUCAUAUAUAAUGUGUGCCCUUGUAUGCCUAUAUAUUGCUCAUCACUAGCAGCUAGCUAGCUCGGUCACUUGUUCUUCUCCCAUCUUCUUCUCCAGCCAUCUCUGUUGCAGCCCAUGUGUUUUACCAUAUAUAUGUACGUACAUACGUAUCUCUGCGGCGGUGCCCGUUCCCCAGAUCUGGAGAGGGGAUGGAUGUUAAUAGGAGCAGCAGUAGCAGUACGGCAGCGGAAGGGAGGAGAAGCAGCGCGAGCAACAGCAGCGGCGGCGGCGCAUCGGCCGCGGGGUUGGAGAGGAAGGAGAUCGAGAGGAAGAGGCGGCAGCACAUGAAGAGCCUCUGCGUCAAGCUCGCCUCCCUUAUCCCCGAAGAAUACUACUCCUCCAAGGAUACGAUGACCCAGCAGGAUAGCCUGGACGAAGCGGCUACGUAUAUUAAGAAGCUCAAGGAAAGGGUGGACGAGCUGCAGCAGAAGAGGAGCUCUGCACAGCUUUUGGCCGGCAUGAGAGGAGGAGGUGGUGGAGCCUCGACGUCUGCAACCACGACGACGAGCAGCGGCGUGGGUUCUGAAGAAGCCGACGAGGAGGCCAUGGCGGCGCCGCCGGUGGUGGAGGUUCGGCACCACCACGACGGGUCGAGCCUGGACGUGGUGCUCGUCAGCAGCGUGGCGCGGCCGUUCAAGCUGCACGAGGUGGUCACCGUGCUGGAGGAAGAAGGCGCCGAGAUCAUCAACGCCAACUUCUCCGUCGUCGGCCGCAAAAUCUUCUACACCAUCCACUCCCGGGCCUUUAGCUCAAGAAUCGGCAUAGAGGUUUCGAGGGUUUCUGAAAGACUAAGAGCAUUGGUGAAUAGGGUUGCAAAAGGAAAAAGGGGUUAUCCAACAUUCAGCUUUAAAACUUCAACCUAAUCCUCUGAAUUCCAUCCCUGGACGUGGUGGCCUAGUAAAAGAUAACUACAACAGAAAAGGAAUUUCAUGAGGGGCAUUCCACUUUCAUGAGGAAUGAAUGAUCGCAAUGAAAUUUUUUAUUUUCAUGAAGGGUGAAUGGUUUUAGGUUGCACAUCAUUGCAGAGGAUCAAUGAAGAGCUAGGGAAUUGAUAAGCAGCACAUUCAUCCAUGUCACACUUAAAGCCUGCUAGUGAGAUUGCACUCGUGGAGAAGUACACGUCACCGCUACUUUUCUUCAUAAAGCUAGCACGUCGUCCAUUAUUUCACCCGGCCUGGAAGCCAUGUAGGCACGGGCACUAGUGAUGUGUAUGCAUGCACCAUGUGAUCAAUGGACCAAAGCAUGUCUUUACUAAAUUAAUUUCAUAGAAAAAGAAAAGGAAAUAUUCCACGCAUCCAUGCACAAAUCAAGCAGUAGCCGCCACCUUUCCAUGACCUAUAUUUCUAACUGCCUAACUGCCCAUGCUUUCCUAGAAAGGUGCAUAGGUGAACCUACACUUAGCGUUUUGGUUGUGAUGUAUGCAUGGUUUCUAUGAUAGAAAACAACGCUAUACAUCGUCUGACAGCUAGAUAGAUUAGUUGUCUUCAUACAUAACAAUAUUGGCCAUAUACACCACAUACUGACAACACAAUGCACGGGCAUUCUCUUUACACCUAAUAAUCUGCUUGAGUGAAGAACACGACGCUCUGCAAUGAUCAAUGAUCGCCAACCCGAUCAUGAUGACUCGUAAUUGUCCGUGUCCCAGAUGGAUUCUAGCUGAGUAAUGCGAACCCCAUUCUGGCUUGCAUGCUUUGCAUCAAGAAGGCCUUGCAAAAGUUGGAACAAUUGCUUACACGCAUGCAUCUCGAUACAGGACAGCUCCCCGUAGCCAUGCAAUACCACUCUGCAUGCAUGCAUAUGCGGAUGAUGGUUAGGGGUAUCAUGCAUGGUGACAUAUCAUCAAGUGGAUUACAAAAUGAUGUAGGAAAAUCUAAGGAGAUAAUAGUAGGCAUGUAGGCAGAGGUCUUUGAAAUGUCAGUUGCCAGGGCACCCAUCACCAACAGUUGUUGCACUAUCUGGAAAUGUAAUCGACUUCCCAUAAUUAACACUA